CCCAGGGCUGACGCCCUGGGCUACAAUCUGUCGCCCCUCCGGGGCU
rfam:Acidobacteria bacterium RIFCSPLOWO2_12_FTLL_60_22 rifcsplowo2_12_scaffold_23266, whole genome shotgun sequence.